AUGUGCGGCGGCGCGGGCGGCGGGGGAGCGGCGCCCCAGAGCCGCGCCGCGCCGCUUCCUGCCGCUAUAAAUAGCGCCCGGCCCAACAUGUCCCGGCCGCCGCAGCGGCUGCAGCGCCGGCGGGACCCGCCGUGCCCUCCCGCCGCCUCGCCCGCACGGAGCGCGCUCUUCCAAGCCCAACUUGUGACGAUGGUGCAGAGACCCAGGAGGCCAUGUAAAAAAGAGAACGUGCUCUCAGAGCCUCGUCUUGGGAGCCUUGCCUUCAGUGCAGGUGGGAGGGAUGGCAGUGCUGCUGUGGCAGUGCUCUUUUUUGAGUGCCAUGAACCACGAGGCAAGCUGAGCUGGCAUGUACUUUCCCCUCUGCUGUGAGGGGAAGGAGCAGAUGAGGAGGAAAUGCAGCUGUUCCAGAGCACUUCUGCCCUCUGUCCAAAGGGAGCACGUGAGGGGGGAGGACAGACGCAGAAAGGGAGAUUCAGGAAGAGACUAUGGGGGGUUGGGGAGGGACGAGAGGAAAGCUACAAAUGGAGAGGAAAGGCUCUUCAUGUAUGCACAAAUAUUAUUUAAAUAUUUAUUUAGCUAGAGUGAGAGCAAAUAGCCUAAAAUUACGAGAUUGUAUCUCUUGAAUCCCUGUUAUUAUUCCUCCAGAAAGUGCUGCUUUUCGUUCCUCGAUUAUUAUGUGUGUCCUUCUGCCUCACUCUUCUAGGCUCUUCAGCAUUCUCUGACCUCAAGCUGAGCAGGACGCUGCCCUUGGCAUCUGUUUGUCAAAUGUGUAUUCUCCGUGUUGUACAUGAAAUGAUUAUUUCCAUAGUUGGUUAAGGCAAGUUUCCGAGGAAUGUGAAGCAAGAGGCACGCCAGUUCCUGUGGCUGGCCUUGACUGGAGUGCAGGCAUUUUGGGACAGGGGCUGUGCCUGGAGACUGUAGUUACUGUGCCUGUUAUCCUUGGCAGCUUAGAGAUUCCUGCCUCUGCUCCUGUCCCUCCCACCCUUCUCUCAGGUCUUAUUGCUGCUCACCUGUUCAUCUGCCUGUGCUGCAGCUGCUUUGGCCUCUCACAGUUACCUGUGGGGCUGUGCUGAAAAGCUCUGAAGUCUGAGUAAGGAGAAAAAGAGAGAGCAGCUACUCCCUUGUCUGUAGAGAAUCCCGUCUCAGCCCUGUGCUGAGUCUCCCCUGCAACCUGCUUUGAGACCCCUCACCCCAACAACUGGCUGUUAAAGCAGUCAAAGCUCUCUAGUCCUAUUUACUGCUCCUGCCUUGCUAUUUCUUCUGAAAUUACACUUUUAACUUUCUUCAGGAUUAGUUUACUCUCUGAAUGGCAUCAGGUAGUAAGGUACUGUCUUUGGGGACUGCAUGGCUACAAGACUACUGAACCUUUUUUUUUUAAUGGAUAACCCAGUUGCCUACCCCAGCAGAGUUUCAUUGCUUUUACCUUUAUAGUACACUCAGAAAUGGAAGUGUGCACCUAAGAAAAGGUAUUGGCUAUGGAAGGAACCAUUUUCCUGUUACCUGUGGUAACAGCUAUGGUCUUUACACCUGAUGAUCUCCAGACCCCAAAAAAGCUGCUGAGAAGCACGAGCAAUGCUAAUCCCUUUGAGAAGGGAGCAUGCUGGAGUAUUUCUCUCCAUUACAUACACUGCAUAAAGUUCUAACAGCUAUUUAGUGUUCUACUGUGCUUGUAUAAACCCAUCUGCUCUGUGGGGAGAAAAGAGUGUAUGUUGGUGUUGUCUGACACUUGUGACAUGAUAGGAAGGCAUAGGGUUCCUUUGGAGCACAUGUAUUGUUGAUGGUGUACAUAUACAAUUUAGUAAAAUGUCUUUAUGCAGCAGCUUUGAGAAAUGUUCUGUGCUUUUAACUACCUUGAAUCUUCAUCUGGUUAAUGGACUUGUGUAUAGAAACCAUAUAAAAUAAUGAUGCAGCAGAAGGGCGCGUUUCUUUAAAGUUUAUGCUUUUGCCAAGGUAAACAUAUCUUAAUUACAGCUUUGUCACAAUAAUGAAGUGUUAUCAAAAAUUAAAUCUAAUUAAAUACUUUUGUGUUCUUUCUACUGAUUUCUCUUAUUCUUGACUCCAACACUUUCUCAUUUCCUUCAUGUGGUGCACUCUAACAUUUGGUCUUGGGAUCUGUUUUAAAAAGGGCCUGUUUACUGUCUCGGUUCAAAAUCCAUGGUGCUAGCUAUGUUGGAGUAGGGGUGUGGAGACCCAGUAUACGGGGAGAUAAUUAAAUUCUGGGAUGGUAGAACAGAUUUUGGUAGUACUGAAGAAGUGUGUAGUGUAAGUAGCCACAGAUCUUCAAGGCAGCUGUCUGUCCUGUGUGCAGUUAACACCUACUUGUUUAGCUCUUUACUUCAAAGGGGUACGUGAAAACCUGUUAUUGAAUAAUAACUGCUGAACUGUUAGUUGGCAGAUAGCCCAGAAAAGGCAUUAUUAAAAAGUAAACUUAAUAAAGAUGUCAAUAAUCAUGCUUUAGUGGCUUGG
ensembl:lncRNA